GCUUCUGUGGUGUAGUUGGUAGUGUCUAGGCUUAGUAAAUAUAAGUUGCAGGUUCAAGUCCUGGUAGAGACA